rnacentral:ncRNA from 1 species
CAAGGGUUUGGCUGUUCGCCAAUUAAAAAGAUACGUGAGCUGGGUUCAGACCGUCGUGAGACAGGUCGGUCUCCUAUCUGCUGCAGGCGUUGAUUCUUUAAGAGAUUUGCUUCUAGUACGAGAGGACCGAAGUGAACUGACCUCUGGUCUACCUGCUGUCACGCCAGUGGCACCCGCAGGGUAGCUAUGUCGGGAAGGGAUAAGCGCUGAAAGCAUCUAAGCGCGAAACCUACUCUAAGAUAAGGAAUCGUUGAGACUCGUAGGAGAUUACUACGUGAUAGGCUUUAGGUGUACGCACAGCAAUGUGUUCAGCCGAGAAGUACUAAUUUGUCGACUUUAUUGGGAAC